CUGACAGCUCAGUAAAGCAACUGCUCACAUCUCCAGCAGAGUUCAGGGGGAGAUUGGUCUGGUGAAGACAGGUGAGCUGGCCCUCAGGAAGAGGACAGCACGUCGCCUGAUUGCUGGCUGGGGUUCUGGUCAAGAUGGGGCUUCACCCUGUGAACCAUUAGACAGGGAAAUGCCAACCAGCAGACAACUUCCCAAAUAAGAAGCCAUGUUCCUGAACUUGCCCUCACAGGGCAGUGAGGUGAGUCGUACAAAGCGCCCCAGGGUCCUUACUGGGCUCUGGGGGCUACAUCUCCGGUCUGUGCUCAGCCUGAGGGCGAGGCAGUGCUGUGUGCCCGCAGGCUGAACUGGUCUGAGGGCUAAUGGCCUCCUGCUAGAGAGAUGCACACUCCUCAGAGGACGCAGCCAGCAGAAGGCUUCUUCCAGGAACAGUUACUUCCUGUGAGAAAUCCAUCGGGCCCGCUGUAGGCGGGGCUGCAGCUCCCAUAACUUUCCUGCUCUGCUACAGAGACCCAGUUGUCUCCUGCAGGAUCUGCAUUCGAGGCCUCUACCAGCCUGACACACUUGGCCUUGGGCAGAAGGCUGGAAAGCCAUCCAGCACGAGCUCCACCUGCACUCAUGCUGGGAAGCCAUGAGGCAGCCUGGGUGUGCUCAGCACAGCAACUGGCCAGCGAGGAGCACCCUCUGCCUGUCCUGGGCUUGUCUGGCCCCUAACAUCUCAUGAUUGUGUCCUCAGAAGGACAACCUUUACAUCUUUCUCUCCCUUGAUACACCCCCACCCCCAAACCCCAGCACCUCUCAUUUUCUCUUCUUUCUUUCCCAGGCCAUGAAACUGGUAUUACUUUCCCAAUAAAAAAUUUAGUCAGUC